UUUUUGAUUUUAAUUUAAAGUYUAAUCUGCUCAAUGAAGAAUUUUAAAUAGCUGCAGUAUUUUGACUGUACAAAGGUAGCAUAAUCAAUAGUUUUUUAAUUGAAAGCUGGAAUGAAAGAUUGAAUAAAGUAAAAUUUGUCUCAUAUUUAUAAAAUGUAGAAUUUUUUUUUUUGUAAAAAUACAAAAAUGAAUUUAAAAGACGAGAAGACCCUAUAGAUUUUUAUAGAUAAUUUAUAUUAAUAAUUAAAAUUUAAAAAUAAAUUAAUAUUAAUAUUUAUUUGAUUGGGGAAAUUAUUAAAUUAAUUAAAUUUUAAUUAAAUUUAAACAAUAAUAUUUGAUUAGUUGAUCUUAAAUUUAAAAUCAAAAGAAUUAAAUACCUUAGGGAUAACAGCGUAAUUUUCUUGGAUAGAUCAUAUUAAUAAGAAAGUUUGCGACCUCGAUGUUGAAUUAAGAUAAAAUUUUAAUGAAGGAGUWAAAAAAUUUUGGUCUGUUC
rnacentral:rRNA from 1 species